GACGAACGCUGGCGGCGUGCUUAACACAUGCAAGUCGAACGGAAAGGCCCUGCUUUUGUGGGGUGCUCGUGUGGCGAACGGGUGAGUAACACAUGAGUAAAAUGCCCUUAUCUGUGUGAUAACUUCUGGGGACUGGGGCUAUUACCCGGUAGAAUCUCCUGCUGCAUGUGGGGGGUUGGAAAGUUCCGGCGGUUGGGGAUCGUAUCGCUGCUUAUCAGCUUGUUGGUCGGGUAGUGGCUUUCAAAGGCUUUGACGGGUAGCCGGCCUGGGAGAGUUGCCGGCGACAAUGGGACUGCGAGACGCACCAGACGCGAACGGGAGGCAGCAGUCGAGAGUAUUGCAGAACAGGCGGAAGCCUGAUGCAGCGGCGCCGCGUUCGUGAUGAUGGCUUACGGGGGGUAAACCUAUUUCGCCGGAGACGAAGCGUGCUUGACGGUAAUUGGUAAAGAAGCACCGGCUAACUACGUG
rnacentral:rRNA from 1 species